AGCUGUGUGCACGCCACCCUGAACAAGCCCGAUCCCGUCUGAUCUCGGAAGCUAAGCAGGGUCUACUUGGUUAGUACUUGGAUGGGAGACCACUUAGGAAGACCGGGUGCUGUAGGCG
rfam:Pteropus alecto contig54859, whole genome shotgun sequence.